AUACGGAGGGUCCAAGCGUUAUCCGGAAUCAUUAGGUUUAAAGGGUGCGCAGGCGGUUUAUUAAGUCAGUGGUGAAAUCUCGGGGCUCAACCUCGAAACUGCCAUUGAUACUGAUAAACUUGAGUUCAGUUGGAGUAGGCGGAAUGUGUAGUGUAGCGGUGAAAUGCUUAGAUAUUACACAGAACACCGAUAGCGAAGGCAGCUUACUAAACUGAUACUGACGCUGAGGCACGAAAGCGUGGGGAGCGAACAGGAUUAGAUACCCUUGUAGUCC
rnacentral:rRNA from 1 species